AUGCAAACUCGAUCACUAGCUCUGCGUAAUGUAGCAGAAGCUAAGGGAACCAGGUUUGGUAAAGUAAUUGUGGGAAUGUAUUUGCCUCAGAAGCAACUGAGGUGGUCCCUCCCAUCCGAGAACACAG